UACAGAGGUCUCAAGCGUUGUUCGGAUUCAUUGGGCGUAAAGGGUGCGUAGGUGGCUUGGUAAGUCGGAUGUGAAAUCCCGGGGCUCAACCCCGGAACUGCAUUCGAUACUGCCGGGCUGGAGUACUGGAGAGGAGAUUGGAAUUUACGGUGUAGCAGUGAAAUGCGUAGAUAUCGUAAGGAAGACCAGUGGCGAAGGCGGAUCUCUGGACAGUUACUGACACUGAGGCACGAAGGCCAGGGGAGCAAACGGG
rnacentral:rRNA from 1 species